UCGCGGGGACGACCCCGCGACUCGUUUGAGCACUUACCAGGGGACGACCCCA
rnacentral:ncRNA from 1 species